ensembl:lncRNA
GCUCAAACACAUUCAGACAUGAAAAAUAUUCCGUUGACAUGGACCAGUCAGACAUCAAACAUGUCUACAUUGAAGGCUCUUCUAAGAAAGCUGACCAAUACGAAGCCUGUGAUUGGCUGGUAUUUUUGCAUGUGGUUGUGUUUACGUCCGAGAUACACCGAUAAUGCUGACACAUAUUUUCCACUGACGUGGACCAAUCAGACCUCGACACAGACAUCCGCUUCAAAGACCCUCACCAUCGUCAGCCCCCCAGAACCAGUCUCUGAGAUGGAGAGGUCAAGAGCUGUUCGCAUCGCUCUCGUCUGUGCUUUGUUCUCCAGGAUCUCUGGAGCAGAAGUGGAGAUGAGGGUCAGACAAGGAGACGACGUGACUCUCUACAGCGACUGUGUUUGGAAGAGUGGAUUUAAUAUAGUUUGGUUUAGAAACUCCUCAUGUGAGCAUCGACCUCCUCUCAUGAUAUCAACUCUAGAUUUGAUACGUGGUGCUGAUCCACGUUACUCUGCUGUGUGGAAUCCCUCCAGCAAAACUCAUGAUCUGUUGGUGAAGAACGUCUCUGAUUCAGAUGUGGGUCUGUACUACUGCGCUGUGUAUGAGAAAAACAUCACCAAAGACGAAAAGGGAGUUUUACACUCUGAAGUUAUUUAUCAUUACGGGAAAAGAACCACUCGACUCUCUCUCCUUGGUCCUUGUACUGAUCUCCCCCAGACCCCCUCAACCCCUCCUGUCUCAGACUGCAGCGUCUGCUGGAAGCUGCUGGUCAGUGUGUGUCCUGUGUGUGUUCUCCUCUCCUCCACCUGUCUGUACUGCAUCUACAGACACACAAAGAAAGGUCCUGAAGAUGGAAGAGAACUCCUGUCUGGAACUGUGUUUCAGGUGGGCUGUGUUGAGGAGCAUCAUUGUGAGAGGACUAUGAUUGGAAGUGUCUGUGUUCACACUGAAGUGUGUUACGCAUCUCUGAAAGCUGCACUCAAAUCAGACUAAACACCCCAGGCCCUCUUGUUAAUGUAGGGACUGUCAUAUUUUUAACUGUCAUCUUUUCAUACAAUAAACCUUCAUUAGCCUUUAUGUCAUUAGAUUAUCUGUAAGUGUUUUGAGAGUGUCUACAUUAGCUAAGCAGACCUUGACCUGUAUAAGAAUAACCUGAAGCUAAUAUGUACAUUUUUCUUAAGGAAGCAGACGGGUAGGCGCUUUUUUUGUUAAUAACGCCAUUCAUUUCUUCUGGGUUUGUGGUAGGAAGGGAGAAGAAUGUACAGAAGAUAACUGUACAUUUUAAUCUCUGUUCCAGGAUGUUUAGACACUGUGGGUUAACCUCAAGUAGCCCACUCUAAAGCUGUCAUCUUGCUAUGGAUGUUCUGUUGUGAUCUAAAGGAACAAAAACAGAAAAUAUAAAUGGCAUUUCUUGAAGCUUCAUCAUCUUGUCCUGGUCAUUUGUGUCAUAUUUCCUUUUGCCCUGAGCCUUGUACAAUAUUUUCAAAUGGACAAUGGGGUGCA